UGGGCGUAAGGGCUCGCAGGCGGUUUCUUAAGUCUGAUGUGAAAGCCCCCGGCUCAACCGGGGAGGGUCAUUGGAAACUGGGGAACUUGAGUGCAGAAGAGGAGAGUGGAAUUCCACGUGUAGCGGUGAAAUGCGUAGAGAUGUGGAGGAACACCAGUGGCGAAGGCGACUCUCUGGUCUGUAACUGACGCUGAGGAGCGAAAGCGUGGGGAGCGAACAGGAUUAGAUACCCUGGUAGUCCACGCCGUAAACGAUGAGUGCUAAGUGUUAGGGGGUUUCCGCCCCUUAGUGCUGCAGCUAACGCAUUAAGCACUCCGCCUGGGGAGUACGGUCGCAAGACUGAAACUCAAAGGAAUUGACGGGGGCCCGCACAAGCGGUGGAGCAUGUGGUUUAAUUCGAAGCAACGCGAAGAACCUUACCAGGUCUUGACAUCCUCUGACAAUCCUAGAGAUAGGACGUCCCCUUCGGGGGCAGAGUGACAGGUGGUGCAUGGUUGUCGUCAGCUCGUGUCGUGAGAUGUUGGGUUAAGUCCCGCAACGAGCGCAACCCUUGAUCUUAGUUGCCAGCAUUCAGUUGGGCACUCUAAGGUGACUGCCGGUGACAAACCGGAGGAAGGUGGGGAUGACGUCCAAUCAUCAUGCCCCUUAUGACCUGGGCUACACACGUGCUA
rnacentral:rRNA from 1 species